rnacentral:rRNA from 1 species
GCGCCUCCAGCCAUGGUGGAGGAGCGGCGCACAGCUCAGUAACACGCGGCUAACCUACCCUUGGGACAGGGAUAACUCCGGGAAACUGGAGCUAAUCCCUGAUAGGUGAGGAUUCCUGGAAUGGAUCCUCGCCGAAAGGGCGUCUAGACCAUGCUUCUAGACGUCGCCUAAGGAUGGGGCCGCGGCCGAUCAGGUUGUUGGUGAGGUAACGGCUCACCAAGCCUAUAACCGGUACGGGCCGUGAGAGCGGGAGCCCGGAGAUGGACACUGAGACAAGGGUCCAGGCCCUACGGGGCGCAGCAGUCGCGAAACCUCCGCAAUACGCGAAAGCGUGACGGGGCCAUCCCGAGUGCCGUCCGCUGAGGACGGCUUUUCCCCAGUGUAUACAGCUGGGGGAAUAAGGAGAGGGCAAGCCGGGUGUCAGCCGCCGCGGUAAUACCCGCUCUCCGAGUGGUGGGGACGCUUAUUGGGCCUAAAGCAUCCGUAGCCGGCUGGACAAGUCCCCUGUUAAAUCCAACGAUUCAAUCGUUGGACUGCGGGGGAUACUGUCCAGCUAGGGGGCGGGAGAGGCCGACGGUAUCCCCGGGGUAGGGGUGAAAUCUUAUAAUCCCGGGAGGACCACCAGUGGCGAAGGCUGUCGGCUGGAACGCGCCCGACGGUGAGGGAUGAAAGCUGGGGGAGCGAACCGGAUUAGAUACCCGGGUAGUCCCAGCCGUAAACGAUGCAGGCUAGGUGUUAGCGCGGCUACAAGCCGCGCUAGUGCCGCA